CCAACAUGGUUUCCAGUGAGAGUUUCAACAUGACCAUCUUCUGCUGGCUGAACAUCAUCCAACUGAGAAUUCAUAUGUUGAUUAACUCUAUCCAAGGGCAAGUUAGAUGGAUCAGUAUACAGUUCAAAAUCUGCAGGUGCCUCUAAAACAGAGGGUAUACUAGAAGCUGUUGGCUGCUCAAUAGAUGGCCAUUCAUCAUUGGAAUGAACAUGUUCGCUUGCACUAACUUCAGGCUCUGCAUCUAUUUCUGACAUCUUGGCAACAUGAUUUUCUGACAAAUGCAAAUCAUGAUUUGAUGCAGCUAAAGAAGGUGCUGCAGGAUGGUGAUGAUUAACACCGUGGUGAAGUGGCAUAGCAGAUGCCUUGUUAUGCGGCCGCCCCAUCUUCACAAUGUCAGCCAUUGAUACUUGACCUGGAACCCCCAACCAGGGAGAUUGAAAUCCAGAAGGAGGUUGUAACGAUGAAGAAACUCCAUCACCCAAACCUAGAGUUGACAUUUUAUUUUCUGAGGCCAAAGAAUCACUGUGCAAUGCUUGUGGUCUCCGAUUAAUGUUAUUUCCUGCCAUACCAGAUGCAGAAAACGAAGAACCAACAUAAGCAUGUGUUCCAUUUUCCUUCUUGUAUGCAGGUUUAGCAUGUGAAACACCAGUCUCAUUAGAGCUGAACUGGGUUGAACCACCACGUCCAUAACGGUCUGCACCAGCUCUGCCACCACGAUGUGUUGUGUUAUUAGCACCACGGUACCUGGGAUCAGUUGUCUCCUUAUUCUCUUUUUUCUUUUCUCGU
rnacentral:misc_RNA from 1 species